AUUACAAACAACGCCGCCUGGGUCAUGUCACAAAUGUGCACGCAUAGCUGGUGUUCCAUUUCUACAAGCAGAACCGCUGGGUCAAAGAAUCUGUGCAUUCAGAUUGAUCCUUGCCCUCCGAGGAGGUGGUAUCAUUUUACAGCCACUAGCAAAGUAAGAGAGUGGCCUCCCUUCUUGCCAAGCCCUCAAAGCUUGCAUCUCUGCCAGUCUGCUCUGUGGAAAAUGGGGUCUGGGUAUAGUUUUCAUUUGCACUUGUCGUGUGCUAAGUGAGACUGAGCAUCUUUUCAGCGUCCAGCCCUGUGGCUGGCUCCAGGUCCUCCUUGUACACAGCUCUAAGGCUGUGGCCUUGCCUGUGACUGGCUCUGCAAGAUCCAGGACUAGAUUUGGGUUUCUAUCUUCCGGCUUCUCGCUGAGUCACUCCCAGGAAGGAAAGGGCAGCAGGCUCAGGUUAUUUCUGCCUGGGCCAUCUAAGCUGCCAGUCCUGGGAAGACCUUGGCCUCCCGAACUCCCUGUGGGCGCCCUGCACCUGUGCGUUGCACCUGUCAAACCCAGCCUUCCUGGGCCCCCUGGGAGGGAUAGGGGCUUGCAGAUAGGGAUCAGGCCAGGCAUGUUUGUAAACUAGGCAUGAAAGGACCCAGCUAGACUAGAAGGAUUUGGAAGAAAUCAAUGAGCAAAGUCCUAAGCUCUAGGUGACAGAAUGAGAGGAAUGAGGCCGAGUGGAGAGAAGAGAUCAAAGUCGUUGAGAGGACUUUAGGCAGAGAGGGUGGUGAGCCACCGCCGGGGGAUGGGACACUUGGGAACAGCUCUCAUGGAAUCACGUGAGACGAACUGUGCAGCUUCCGCCCUGGCUCCAGGGCCCAUCAUCACUUCAGGGUGUGUGCUAAGAGCUGCCGAGGGUGGGAAGUAGAGACAGCCUUUGGCCUGUGCAUGGAGAAUCCAGGCCACGCAUGAGGCCAGCCAGAGGCCUGGAGAAGCCCCUCUCUCCACAGGGACCCUCUCUGAACAGGGUCUGGGCCUCUGCGAGGGAGCUCUGGUCAGGUGGUUGUAAUUUAAGCUCAGGGCCGCUCUGUGUGUCUUGCUCACUGAAGGACGGAAGGACGAGAGAAGCCAGGAGAAGCUGGUGGCUGCAUUCCUGGGCCCCUGGGGAGUCUGCAGCCUGUUAUUUCCUGACUCAAACAAAAAGCAAAUUUGCUCUGGAAAUUGCUGAGGCAGAGUCAUCCUGGAGCUCCUCGAAGAAUGGGGACUUGUAAUUUUCUAAGCUCCAGGGCCUCUGACUCCUGGGAGCUGGGCUUUCCCCUCUGUGAGCUUCCGUGGAGACCCUGGGGCCUGUUCUAGGCUCAACCACCAACCACAGUUCAGGCACUCCUCCCUGCUCUGUUGGGGCCGGCAAUCCAGCGCUAGACUUCAGAAGUGGACAGGGAGAGAGAUUUGCUGUAUCUGGGGCUCCAUUUCAGUUCCAUCCAGGUGCCCCAUGCUGCUGUGUAAGAGGGAAAAUGAGCCACUGCUGAUUUUUACCCCAGCUAGGAUCAGAGACCGAUGCGGUUGCAGCAGGUGGCAUCUGGGUGGCGUGCAGGCAGGGUGGGGCCCCUUCCUGAAGCCAGCUUCUCAGAGUCUCUCAAUGCCACAUUACCAAGCAGAGUUUUCAAGAACUGUAGCUAGGGAUGCUCUCCUUCCAGCUCUUCAACCUCUCUGGGGGAAAAGCACAAACAGUUGAGGUUGUCCCUGGGGCCACCACGGAAUGCUUAAUUGCUUUCUGAGAGAAUUGUCACCUCUUUCUGCUUUCCUCCCCCUCCCCAUUGCCCUUCUCCCCCUUUCCCUCCCUCACUGGAGGCUGUUGCUAGGGGAGCUGGGGCUGAAGACAUGCGCUCCCUGACUGUGCCCCAAGGGAACCAGGAGCAUGUGCUGACGAGCAGUCCGCUUCUCCAAAUAUAUUGCUGCACCACCUUUGCUGAAAAAAAGAACCCUAUGUUUUGGAGGAAUAAAUGUGCUCUUUGCUGUGAGCCAGGCACUCUUUGACAGCAGAUGGAUGAUGUCCCAGGCCAGCUGAAUCAGCCAGACUUUGGAGCAAGCAGUGUGAACCAAGACAGGGACGGGAGCCAGCCAAGGAAAGUAAGACACAAGAAGCCACCCACACUCACCUGACCAGCCGGAACCCAGGGGAGCCGGCCUUAAUCCUGGCUUCCCUGCGGCUCAAAAGAAUCUGGAUCACAACAGGAUGCCAGAGAAGAGGUGUCCACAAGACCCCAGCAGCGUUGUUCUCAUUACGGGGUCUCCUCAGCCGAGAUCCCUCACUCUCUUCUGGCAUUCUUCUGGUUUCCUCACUGACAUCAUCAAAAUUUGUAUUCACUCAUGUAAUAAAUAUUUAUUGAGAAUGUG